rnacentral:sRNA from 1 species
CAGGGAAUUGUUUCAGAGGUUUCCUUGGAUAUUCCUACAACUGAUAACAGCUGCCAUUUCUUCAGCAUCUACUGUACUCAAGAACCUGGAGCUAGCUGCUGUGGGAGGAUCAGAUGUCCGUGUGAAGAUGCUGGCGGCCCCUAUCAAUCCAUCUGACAUAAAUAUGAUCCAAGGAAACUACGGACUCCUUCCCGAACUGCCUGCUGUUGGAGGGAAUGAAGGUGUUGCACAGGUCAUAGCGGUGGGCAGCAAUGUGACCGGGCUGAAGCCAGGAGACUGGGUGAUUCCAGCAAAUGCUGGUUUAGGAACCUGGCGGACCGAGGCUGUGUUCAGCGAGAAAGCACUGAUCCAAGUUCCGAGUGACAUCCCUCUUCAGAGCGCUGCCACCAUGGGUGUCAAUCCCUGCACAGCCUACAGGAUGCUGAUGGACUUCGAGCAACUGCAGCCAGGGGAUUCUGUCAUCCAGAAUGCAUCCAACAGCGGAGUGGGGCAAGCGGUCAUCCAGAUCGCCGCAGCCCUGGGCCUAAGAACCAUCAAUGUGGUCCGAGACAGACCUGAUAUCCAGAAGCUGAGUGACAGACUGAAGAGCCUGGGGGCUGAGCGUGUCAUCACCGAAGAGGAGCUAAGAAGGCCCGAAAUGAAAAACUUCUUUAAGGAGAUGCCCCAGCCACGGCUUGCUCUCAACUGUGUUGGUGGGAAAAGCUCCACAGAGCUGCUGCGGCAGUUAGCGCGUGGAGGAACCAUGGUAACCUAUGGGGGGAUGGCCAAGCAGCCCGUCAUAGCCUCUGUGAGCCUGCUCAUUUUUAAGGAUCUCAAACUUCGGGGCUUUUGGUUGUCCCAGUGGAAGAAGGACCACA